GGAGGAUGCAAAAGUUACCAAAACAAAAACCAAACUGUUUUCUAUUUCAAAACACAAUACCUAUGUUUUGAUGCCAUAUUCUAAAAGUUGAAUUCACAAUAGUCAGAUGCAACAUUAUUCAUACUUUUGCAUGCUUGAUUGGUGCAAGUUAUUUAUUCUACUAAGUUCUUAAUAUAACAUAAUUAUAUUUCUGCUGCAGCUGUUGGACACCCGCAGCUACUUCUCCACCGCGAUCCGGCCUGAUUCCUCAAAACGUCCAUCCACUACUGGUUCCUGCAGCAGCCGUAUCCUCUGUGUUGACCGCAGGAUAUUCAUUUCUAUGGACUAAGCCUUGGACACCUAAGAGUUUUGCUUUUGAUUGUUGAAUCUGUUCCAUAUUACUCCUAAGGAACUGCUCAUAUGCUUCAGCUUCUUGGACAGAGCUGAUAUUCUCCACUUGCGGAUUGCAAUACCUUAUUUUCUGUUGUGCCUCCCUUAGUGUUUCUUUGAGCUCAUUAAGCUUCUUCUCAUGAGCCUCAGCAAUAGCUAUUUUUCCAACCAUUUGGCCUUCAGAUUUUGACUGUUUGAGACUCUGCAUCAAAAGCUGUUCAUUUAGAUUUGGUAUGGGUCGCGGAUUCACAGACUUGUUCAUAGCUUCGAUCAUGAUGUCCUCAAUACUUUCUUUGCUAGAAUAGGUAGUCAGUUGACCAGAUGGAGAAAACAUCAACAACCCCACAUCUGUACCACAUACAACCGCCAGCUCAUUUGACUUCUUCACAAUGCUAUCCUUGCGAUUUGAAUAGAACUGUUUACGGGAUGUUGAAUCCUCAAUUUUCUUCAUCACAAUCUUAUUGCGACCCAUGAGAAGAUGCAAACUAGAACUUGAUUUUGGUAGAUUGAAAUGAAAUCUUUUGGAUCCGUAGUACUCUACUUCGAAAAAAAUCGCUUGGAGAGAAGCAUGAAGUUAGCUUGGGAGCUUUUAGAUGAAAAAUUCUAAUAUUUUCGCCUUAGCUUUGGAGAUGAAAACAGCAGUGGAACUUUUUCCGAUCCACUGCAUGUGAGUUUUAGAGAGAAGCUUCUAGUUUAGU
rnacentral:misc_RNA from 1 species